GCGCUUGCUUCAGCAGCACAUAUAUUAAAACCAGAAUGAUACAGAAAAGAUUACCACGGCCCUGGGCAAGGAGGACAUGCGAAUCUGUGAAGCAUUCCACAUUCUA
rnacentral:snRNA from 1 species